rnacentral:rRNA from 1 species
UACAGAGGGGGCAAGCGUUGUUCGGAAUUACUGGGCGUAAAGGGCGCGUAGGCGGCCUGUUAAGUCGAACGUGAAAUCCCCGGGCUCAACCCGGGAACUGCGUCCGAUACUGGCAGGCUUGAAUCCGGGAGAGGGAUGCGGAAUUCCAGGUGUAGCGGUGAAAUGCGUAGAUAUCUGGAGGAACACCGGUGGCGAAGGCGCAUCCUGGGACCGGGCAUUGACGCUGAGGCGCGAAAGCCAGGGGAGCAAACGGGG